rnacentral:rRNA from 1 species
UACGUAGGGAGCAAGCGUUAUCCGGAUUUACUGGGUGUAAAGGGCGCGCAGGCGGGAAGACAAGUUGGGAGUGAAAUCCGGGGGCUCAACCCCCGAACUGCUUUCAAAACUGUUUUUCUUGAGUGAUGGAGAGGCAGGCGGAAUUCCCAGUGUAGCGGUGAAAUGCGUAGAUAUUGGGAGGAACACCAGUGGCGAAGGCGGCCUGCUGGACAUUAACUGACGCUGAGGCGCGAAAGCGUGGGGAGCAAAC